CCUACGGGUGGCAGCAGUGGGGAAUAUUGCACAAUGGGCGCAAGCCUGAUGCAGCCAUGCCGCGUGUGUGAAGAAGGCCUUCGGGUUGUAAAGCACUUUCAGCGGGGAGGAAGGCGGUGAGGUUAAUAACCUCAUCGAUUGACGUUACCCGCAGAAGAAGCACCGGCUAACUCCGUGCCAGCAGCCGCGGUAAUACGGAGGGUGCAAGCGUUAAUCGGAAUUACUGGGCGUAAAGCGCACGCAGGCGGUCUGUCAAGUCGGAUGUGAAAUCCCCGGGCUCAACCUGGGAACUGCAUUCGAAACUGGCAGGCUAGAGUCUUGUAGAGGGGGGUAGAAUUCCAGGUGUAGCGGUGAAAUGCGUAGAGAUCUGGAGGAAUACCGGUGGCGAAGGCGGCCCUCUGGCCUGUAACUGACGCUGAGGCGCGAAAGCGUGGGGAGCGAACAGGAUUAGAUACCCCUGUAGUC
rnacentral:rRNA from 1 species